AGUAAUGUAUGGGGAUCUGCCUGAUGGCGGGGGAUAACUACUGGAAACGGUAGCUAAUACCGCAUAACGUCGCAAGACCAAAGAGGGGGACCUUAGGGCCUCUUGCCAUCGGAUGUGCCCAGAUGGGAUUAGCUAGUAGGUGGGGUAAUGGCUCACCUAGGCGACGAUCCCUAGCUGGUCUGAGAGGAUGAUCAGCCACACUGGGACUGAGACACGGCCCAG
rnacentral:rRNA from 1 species